rnacentral:rRNA from 1 species
UUGAAAGGGAAACGAUUGAAGUCAGUCGUGCUGGCGCGAAAUCAACCUUCUCGUNUNGAGAUCACAUGGCGUGGCGAGCCUCAAAACCGUCACGAAGCGUGAACUCUUGGUGAAAUGGAGCACUUUCGUGUCCGCUGGUUAACAUCAAUUUCGAACGUCAUAAAAAGGCUGGAGGGAUGUGGCUCCUUCGGGAGUGUUAUAACCUUUAGCGGAAUGUGGUGUUCGGGAAUUGAGGAUUGCAACGAAAACUUUUAGGGUUGUUCCACCUGGUUUCUCUUUGGUAUCCUGGUGACGACAGCUUGCUGACGUCGUUAGGAUUCGCCUUUGAACAGGCUAGAGUGUGAGCAAAUUCGUUAAGGAUGUUGACGUA